rnacentral:rRNA from 1 species
UACGAAGGGGGCUAGCGUUGUUCGGAAUUACUGGGCGUAAAGCGCACGUAGGCGGAAAUUUAAGUCAGGGGUGAAAUCCCGGGGCUCAACCCCGGAACUGCCUUUGAUACUGGGUUCUUGAGUUCGGAAGAGGUAAGUGGAAUUGCGAGUGUAGAGGUGAAAUUCGUAGAUAUUCGCAGGAACACCAGUGGCGAAGGCGGCUUACUGGUCCGAUACUGACGCUGAGGUGCGAAAGCGUGGGGAGCAAACAGG